rnacentral:rRNA from 1 species
CGGCGAGUGAAGCGGCAACAGCUCAAAUUUGAAAUCUGGCCCUUGGGUCCGAGUUGUAAUUUGUAGAGGAUGCUUUUGGUGAGGUGCCUUCCGAGUUCCCUGGAACGGGACGCCAUAGAGGGUGAGAGCCCCGUCUGGUUGGACACCGAGCCUCUGUAAAGCUCCUUCGACGAGUCGAGUAGUUUGGGAAUGCUGCUCUAAAUGGGAGGUAUAUGUCUUCUAAAGCUAAAUAUAGGCCAGAGACCGAUAGCGCACAAGUAGAGUGAUCGAAAGAUGAAAAGCACUUUGAAAAGAGGGUUAAAUAGUACGUGAAAUUGUUGAAAGGGAAGCGCUUAUGACCAGACUUGAGCCCGGUUAAUCAUCCAGCCUUCUGGCUGGUGCACUUGGCCGGCUCAGGCCAGCAUCAGUUCGGCGCGGGGGAUAAAGACUUCGGGAAUGUGGCUCCUCCGGGAGUGUUAUAGCCCGCUGUGUAAUACCCUGUACUGGACUGAGGUUCGCGCAUCUGCAAGGAUGCUGGCGUAAUGGUCAUCAGCGACCCGUCUUGAAACACGGACCAAGGAGUCGUCUUCGUAUGCGAGUGUUCGGGUGUCAAACCCCUACGCGUAAUGAAAGUGAACGCAGGUGAGAGCUUCGGCGCAUCAUCGACCGAUCCUGAUGUUCUCGGACGGAUUUGAGUAAGAGCAUACGGAGCCGGACCCGAAAGAAGGUGAACUAUGCCUGUAUAGGGUGAAGCCAGAGGAAACUCUGGUGGAGGCUCGCAGCGGUUCUGACGUGCAAAUCGAUCGUCAAAUAU